UACGGAGGGUGCAAGCGUUGUCCGGAUUCAUUGGGUUUAAAGGGUGCGCAGGCGGGCGAUUAAGUCAGGGGUGAAAGACGGUGCUCAACAAUCGCAGUGCCUUUGAUACUGGUUGUCUUGGGUGACCUUGAGGUAGGCGGAAUGGGUGGUGUAGCGGUGAAAUGCAUAGAUACCACCCAGAACUCCGAUUGCGAAGGCAGCCUACUGGAGGUUCACCGACGCUCAGGCACGAAAGCGUGGGGAUCAAACAGG
rnacentral:rRNA from 1 species